GCUGAAGGAAGGAAAUGGUGCCCAGGUCAGCAGCAGCCCCACAAACUCAAUGACAGGCCUGGGUUUGGGGGCCUGUCCAGCCUGGACGCCCAGAUCAGAAGACAAGGAGAAAGGGCCUGGGGCUGCUCCCUGUGGCCUGGGUCCCGGCAGCUUACCCGGAACGUCUGGGGCCAGCUGAGGGAACUAGGGGAACCGUGUGUGGUGGAGCCAGCAGAGGGCAUUUGAGGGAGAGGGUGUCCGGGUACAGACUCCCUAGACCCUGGUUUAUAAGACCCGGAGGAGAUGGACCUACCUACCUACAUUUCAGACUCAAAUUUUCUUAGCCUGGGCCAAAAGGCAGGCAAGGCAGCUAGAGGGUAGGGGAGCGGGGAGGGGAUCCCUAAGGCAGGAGAGGGGUCCUUACAUAUUUGACCUAGUAUCCUGUCAGGGGACAGGGCCUGUGGGCUCUCAGUCCCUGAUGCCCUUUCCUGAGGGCUCCCUGCCUAGAGCCAGACUUGGCACCUUGGCCACGCCUCCAGGAAAAGGCUCGAAUGGUUAGUCCCUGACUCCUGGAUUCCCAGCCACGUACACCCGACACUCCUGGCCACCCCAGCCCGACUGACCGCUCCCUGCUUUCCCUGAGUCUUGCCUAAGCUGACCUUCCACCUAGAGCUCGCCCUGCCCUUCUGCCAACCUCCCUAUGUCCCUAUGUCCCGCAGCUGCUGCCCUUGAACGCGCACCAGAUCCACCUGCCCCGGCCCCCCUGCUGAGCUCCUGUGUCAUCGCUUCCCACCCCCCAGCAGAGGGAAGUCCUGUGGAACUAGGGACCUGGUCCCACAAGCCUUGUCUCCUUCAGCCCCUGCUAUGUCCUACCAGGGGCCCUCAGACUUCCUCAGCCUCCCUGUUGAGUCCCACUUGUGUAGGCCUGUACUCACCUUGCCAGCCUCUCCCCAAGCCCCAUCCCCUGGGAAUCCUGGUGACAGUUGGGCCGUCUGGGCAGGGAGUUGGGGACGUUGACAUCCUAGUAGGUUUGCACCGCCCCCAAGAAACCCUCUUCCUUCUCCCAGCUGCCUGUAGCCCCCAAGGCCAGGCCUCCCCUUGCAGUAGGUCCUGCCGCCAGAGACCCCGUCCUCAGACCUGAGUUUUGUCUUGUCCGGACCACGACUCCGCCAGAGCACUGGUCAGUUACAUUGUCCUUGAACCUCUGAAGGAGACUUUUCUACUCUGACCCCUGAUCCCGCCCCCAUGCCCCCCCCCAGUGGCACCUGGGAGCAAGGUGUACAUGGCACCAGGCCGUCUGCAGGUACCCCAGAAACCCUCUGAGUGGUGCCCCUGGCUACUGGAGGCUACUGACCUUGACAUUGAGGAAAGCCUGUGCUCUCACUGGCCUAGAGUAUCCUCGAUUCCCAACACCCCCACCACCGAAUGCCAAGGUCAGAUAGGCAGGGGACACAGAGGUCCGGAGGAAGAGCUGGGACUAUUAUUAACCUCCCUCUUGCAUAUUGUACUUAUGACAAAUAGUUUAAAAUAGCUGUCCGGCUGAGUCUGGCUGGGGGAGGCAGGUGCUGAGAGACAGCUGUGGGGGGAGUGUUGCUGCUGGGCUGGGGCCUGGGACAGUCAGCUCCUGCUGCACAGGGUGGAGCCAGAGGGAGAAGAGCAACCCAGGAUGUGCCCAUCCCACCUCCUGGAUUUCCCCAAAUAGCCCUUGUUUUAAAUAUUUUGACUCAAUUACCAUUUCACAGAAAAACAAACAAAUAAAAAUUAAAAAAAAAAAAAAAAAAAAAAGCAGAAUCUGUCUGGAGGACAUGGAUCCUGAUCUUCGGAAAAAGUAGUUCCCCUCACCAGUUGGUGCUCUUGGAGGUCCAGGACCCCCGACCAUAGGCUGUAGGAUUGUGGUGGCUGUCGGGAGUCAGGGCCCCUGCUCUGCAAGGAGGGACACAUGCAGCACCCCACUGAAGGCCCCACAGUUGGCCCCAGGUUCCAGAAGACGGGGGUCUGGGUGGGAAAUGCCUGCUCUCUGCCUCUGCGGUGGCGCUGGACCAGGAAAGGGCGGGCUCAGCUGCCCCCUUCUGGCCAUAGCUGGACCUGCAAGCAGUGACCUUGGCCGACUCUCCUGAAUUCUGCACAUCACUCCCCCUGCCAAAUGGUCAAACUGGUGGGGGGUGGGGGAAAAAAAAAAAGGCAGCCAACCCUGGGGCUUGAAACUGAAGUCCUGCCCCAGGGCUAAUGCUGUGUGUGACUCUGUUCUGUGUGACGUCGGGGUAAUCUGCCUGCCUUCUCCGAUUGGGACAGGAAGAAAAAGCAUCAGGCGGCUCUAAAAUGUCCUAAAAUGUCCUCGUUGCCUGGGAGGAGGAGCAGUGAGAAUCUGCCCCGAAGGUUCCCACUUCUCUUGGCUCAGGGCUGUGAGUGUCUGUCAGGCGCAAGGUCACAGCCAGGUUUUGCGUGACACCCCUGUUCUGUAUGCCCCCACCCCUGCCCAUACCCUUUCAGUGUGAGAGAUACUCCUUUCAUCUCUGUUAUAUCGAACCUGUCAGGACUUCUCUAGAAAGCCUUCGGUGAUCUCCGACUCUCCUCCCCAUCUGUUGUCUGUUCCCUUUGUCUCCUGGAGCUCAGGUGUGGCUGGUUCAUCCUUCAGGGACAACGAGCCUGUCCGAAGUGGCUUGUGAUCCUGGUCAUUUCCCAUCCCCGGUGUCCCCUGCAAAGCUGCUUGGACCUUGAGCUGACACCCUUUGGACAGCUCAGUCAUGGACUCUCUCAGCUCCUGGUGCAGAGGCAUGUGGAACUGCUUGCUGACACGUGUCAGCGGCCCCAGACAUGGUCCCUCCAGACCGUUCCUUUCCAGCUUGAUCCGUGUGUCCUGAACCUUUGGCUUCUUGGACAGAGCGUGAAGGCUUCCUGGGUUUCCCUGCCGUAUCCUGAGCCCAGUGGGGCUUCUGGUUUCCUGUGGGUGUCUCGAUGUACCUCAGGCUGCUGGCCACAGCAUGAAUCACUAGGCGCCGUCCAGGGGCCGGAUCUGCGGCGGCCUCCUGGCCGAGGUUGUGGUGGCAGCCACCUGUACCUGACCAGCUGAGAAGCUGGGGAGGCCGGCCAAAAGCUCCCUGAUGCUGUCAGUGGCGGAGAAUGAGCCAGAAGUGCCCCAGCCUCACAAAGGGUUGCCUAUGUUGGCUUGUUCCCAUGACCUCUGCUGUUUGAGUUCUGAAGCAUUAUGGGGUCAGGUGGUCCUGAAGACCCUGGACCCCUGCACUUACCCCUGCACUGGACCCCUCCAACUUCUUCUGGUCCAGGGUCCUCUGGAGCCAGGUGCUGGCUGAGCCAGGCUGGGGGAGGGAAGCCCCUGUGCGAGCUAAAGGCAGCUGGUAUCUUAAAACAGCAACCUUUGGUGCACUAAAAAGCCCCCCAAAAGGCCAUUAGGGUGGUAUUCGGGUUGAACUGUGUCCCCCGCAAAAAGAUAUGUUCAAGCCCCAACCCUUGGGACCUCCGCAUGUGACCUUAGUUGGAAACAGGGUCGUUGCAGAUGUAAUUAGUUAAGAUGAAAUGGCCAAGGGUGGGCCCUAAUCCCCCGUAACCGGUGUCCCAAGAAGAAGACGGAUGCGCACAGGGAGAAGCCAGGUGACGACAAAGGCAGAGACGGGAUGUGUGCAGCCACGCUGAGCCAAGGACUUCAGAAAAGCACCCGAAGCCGGGAAGGGCGAGGAGGGAGUCCUCUGUAGCUUUCAGAGGGAGCACGGCUCGGCUGACACCUUCUUUGGGGACUUCUGGGCUCCAGAACUGAGAGACGUUACAUUUCCAUCGUUUUAAGUUCCCCCAGCCCGUGGUACUCUGUCAUGAUGGCCCCAGGAACCUCCUGCGGGUGGAACAGAGAGAGAGGUAGGACAGCACCUUCUGGAAUGUGGUCUUCAGGGACGAGUGAAGGAGCGAACCCGACACAGUCACACAGAGACGCAGCCCCAUGGGCUGUUCCUGAGUGUCACCCACAACUUCCUAAGCUGGGCUGACAUCCUCACUUCAGACACGACAAGUUGGGACUCACAGAGCCGAAUCCCGGCCUCCCAGCAGCGGGGGGUCCCAAGCUUGCUGACCGCCUCUCUGGCCCGGCAAGCAGGGGCCGCCUCUCGUUUGUGGAUGUGUGCCACACUCUGUGCUCUGCCCGUGGGCGUGGGAAGGAAUCCGGACACGGGCCUCCCGUGACUCCCAGGAGCCAGACAGACCUCCCUGUUUGGUUCCCACCACGAACCCCCAAUCCCCUCCUGGACCUUCUCAGCCUGGGAGUCCCUGACCGACCACCGAGACUGGAGAACGUCCCUCUGGGCUUUCCAUCGAGCUCAGCUCGGCAGCCCACAGAGCUGAGUACCUUGAUGAAUAUUUACUACAAAGCAAGCCAGCAGCCUGUAAUUGACUCCCAGGGUGUAAUUAACACACUAGUUUAUUUCAUAACGUAAGCCACCCAAAGUUCGCUGGAAAUUUAUUUUAUUAUUAAGAAGUCACAUGAUACAAAAGAAUGAGAAUAUUCAAAGGGCACUUGGUAAAAUACUUCUUUGUCCCAAAGGGCAGGCAGAAAAGGUCAUGGCACACAAGGGAUGCUCAGAUAACAGUGGAGAGACUGAAGAGUGAAAACAAGUCAUGUGUGCCCGUGCCCACCCCCGCCAGCCGCCAGCCCAGCAGACAGAUAAGCAUUCACCUGGGUCUAAACAUCGAGUGGGAGGAGAGAACCAGAGGGCUGGGCGCCAGGCGGGCUGGGCCGCUCCGGUCCAGUGACUCCAGGAAGGGGGAGGAGAUGGCCUCUGGGUGGGAAAUUCCAAAAGGCUGGGGAUGCCCAUUUAUUAUAACAAACAACAGAGUCUCUACUGCCGGAGGCAAGCCCACCUCGGAACAUCUGAGCCGGCAGGCCAGUCUGCAUUUCCCCUGCCAGAGCUCUCCACAGGGAGGGAGGGCAAAGCAGAGCCCAGUGCUCAGCGGGGCUGGGCCUGUGGAAAGUCUCAGAAGUGCCGGGAGGGCCGUGGACCCACCGUGGAGGUGCAGAGGGGCUGGGCCCGCUCUCCUCUACCCCCUCUAGGCUGGCUCUUCUGGGAGAAGCCAGGAGGGUGAAGCAGGGGGAAAAGCUACGCCCAACACCACAUCCAGCCUCCUUACAAUGUCCCUGGAAAGAGGAGACCAACUCGAGUGGGAUGUCCCCACGCAUAGGCCACCCCCGGGGUUGGGCAGAUGGACACCUCGGUGCCAUCUUGAGGGAGAGCAGGCAGCUCUGAGGUGGGUGGGGGGUCUCCUCCUCAAGCUACCCCGGAGCUCCCAGGCUUUGUGGAACUGGAGCAGAUGAAAAAAGAGCAAACACGG